GGUAAAACUGUAAAUUUUCCACUUUUAAAGGUAUUUCAGUAAUUUAUCUAUUUUAGGGUUUUUCAUGCAUAUUCCUACUUUUCACGUACUAACAGAAUCACGUACCGAGGGUUCUUACCAAAUUGGGCCCGUUGGCCCAUCAUUCCAAUUUUGGCCCAUUAAGCCCAAAAAUAUCGAGGGCACAGAAAUCAUGCACUUUGCAGUCCAACUUUUGCAGCUUACCAAAAACAUUAAUCAAUUUACCUCACGAGCAUUCGCACACUCGCAAAUAUACAAAAUACCGGUUUUCGAUAUUUCGGCUUUUCGACUCUUACCGAUCCAGACUAAGAAAGAGGGUGUUAGUUACACACCUGUUUGCGACG
rnacentral:lncRNA from 1 species